CCUACGGGGGGCUGCAGUGGGGAAUAUUGGACAAUGGGCGAAAGCCUGAUCCAGCCAUGCCGCGUGUGUGAAGAAGGCCUUCGGGUUGUAAAGCACUUUCAGUGGGGAAGAAAGCCUUGGGGCUAAUACCCUCGAGGAAGGACAUCACCCACAGAAGAAGCACCGGCUAACGCCGUGCCAGCAGCCGCGGUAAUACGGAGGGUGCGAGCGUUAAUCGGAAUUACUGGGCGUAAAGCGCGCGUAGGCGGUCUGAUAAGCCGGUUGUGAAAGCCCCGGGCUCAACCUGGGAACGGCAUCCGGAACUGUCAGGCUAGAGUGCAGGAGAGGAAGGUAGAAUUCCCGGUGUAGCGGUGAAAUGCGUAGAGAUCGGGAGGAAUACCAGUGGCGAAGGCGGCCUUCUGGACUGACACUGACGCUGAGGUGCGAAAGCGUGGGUAGCAAACAGGAUUAGAUACCCUUGUAGUC
rnacentral:rRNA from 1 species